GAAUCCGUGGCAGAAAUGGAUAUGUGCCUGUCUGCAAAACAGGCUUAUAAGGGUUCGAGUCCCUUCGGAUUCUCCA
rnacentral:tRNA from 1 species